rnacentral:rRNA from 1 species
ACGGCCCACCAAGGCAACGAUCGGUAGGGGUACUGAGAGGAAGGUCCCCCACAUUGGAACUGAGACACGGUCCAAACUCCUACGGGAGGCAGCAGUGAGGAAUAUUGGUCAAUGGACGAGAGUCUGAACCAGCCAAGUAGCGUGAAGGAUGACGGCCCUAUGGGUUGUAAACUUCUUUUGUACGGGAAUAAAGUGACCCACGUGUGGG